AGCGAACGCUAGCGGCGGGCCUAACACAUGCAAGUCGAGCGGGGAGCAAUCCCAGCGGCGAACGGGUGAGUAACACGUAGGUAAUGUGCCUUUUGGUGGGGAAUAACCGUGGGAAACCAUGGCUAAUACCGCAUAUCGUGCUUCGGCAUGAAAGCUUCUGAGGCAACUCGGGGGCGCCAGUUGAGCAGCCUGCGUCCCAUUAUUUAGUCCUAGUUGGUAGGGUAAUGGCCUACCAAGGGUACGAUGGGUAGCUGGUCUGAGAGGAUGAUCAGCCACACUGGAACUGAGACACGGUCCAGACUCCUACGGGAGGCAGCAGUGGGGAAUAUUGCGCAAUGGGGGAAACCCUGACGCAGCCACGCCGCGUGAGUGAUGAAGGCCUUCGGGUUGUAAAGCUCAAUAAGUGGGAAAAAAUAAGACCCGUAAGGGUGAUGAUGGUACCCAUCU
rnacentral:rRNA from 1 species